GAAAAUAUUGAUAUUGGGACAGUUUCGCGCAUAGUAUCCAAAGACCUUUCAGACUCUGUAAAUGUGGCCUCUCGGUCACUUCCCUGACAUGUCUCCUUCGUGUCCCGUUGCCCAAUUUCCAGGGGAUUUUAAGAUCAUAAGAUUGUCAGACUCCAGGAUGCUGCAGUGUCCUCUGGAGUAAUUUGGAAGGCAGAAAUUUCAAGUAAAGUGAGGACACGAAAAUACAGGGAAAGACUCAAUGCUGACUAUGCAAGGAGAGAGGAGGUCCUAAAGGAAAGGAGGAAAAAGUAAGGAGAUCAUGUUCACACAGGACAGACAUCUUCUAUAGGGAAGGAUGGCAAGUCUAGGCAACAGCCUGCAUAGUGUAACUUCAACACAAUACAAAAGAAACAGAGAAAAAGAAAAGAAGAAGUGAAUGCCAUUAUGAACCUGACCCCUCCAUCUAUUGAAGCAUCACUGAAUGCACAGCACACACCAGAGCCUUCUGUCAAGUCUACCCAUUCUUCUCCUGAAUGCCCCACUUAGAAUCUACAGGUGUCUGAAGAAUCCAUACCAAGCAAAUUGAUAGUUCAAAAGGAUAGUCUGAGGAAACAACUUAAAGUUAAAAGGCUAAAUCAGGCACAAAGAAGUACACCCCAAAGCAGAAAGAUGCAGGACCGGCACUAAUAGUUGAAUAGUGAGAAGUUCCACUUCCGAGCAGCUAAAAAAAUGUCCCAUGAGAGAAAAAAAGAGGGUUACGGCUUUUUUGAAAUUGGAUGAGAACAGCAUUGUGCUUCCUGGAAAAAGGAUACAAUUGAAGAAACAUAAGAAACAAAGAAGGAUCCUUACAAGCACACUUCACAAAGUCUUCAGUGGUAAGAGUGAUACAUUGCACAGAAUGUCUUACAUGCAGUUCACCAGAAACAAACCAUUCUACAUCCCCUAAACCAAAAUCAUGUGAUUGUAACACCUGGGCAUGCCAUCAACAUGAAAACAUGAGACUUCUGAAUGCAACUCUUUCAAAAAGAUGAGGCUUCAGUGCACAGAAUACUGUUUUGAGGAGGUUAAGUUCAGAGGGCAUAAUCCUGCCGAGAGGCAGGGGUGUAAAUUUCAUCUAACGGGGAGGAUAAACAACAUUUCUCAAGAGCAAUUUUGGAAGGGGACACAAAUAAUCCAGCAAAAAUUGUACUUGUAAGGAUAUGUAUACACAGAGGAUAGCCGUACUACUAUUAGUGCAGCAGUUGGCGGCUGUCUUGACCGCAGUGCCACACUGGACAACUUCAAGCUGUUGUGGUCACAUGGAGACAGCGCUCUGUGUCCUUUAGACAUUACUAUCCAUCACAGUGUUGCACACUUCAUCACUGUUGCCGCAUGAUGUUUUUCAUGUCAUUUUCAUUACAUUUUCAAUGUUAUUUUAGCACCUGGAACGCAGUUUUUACCCGGGGCCCCCUCGAAACGCGGUUAGUUUGGGCUUGUUGUGUUAUGAACACCUGAUGCAAGGCAACCCUUUCCAUCAAGCGAGUAACGUUAUUAUUACUAACAUAGCGCACUCAUCGAAAAAUCAAUGGCAUCAUGUAUUAAAGAGAAAAUAAUUACUUCCAUUCCAAUUUUUAAGUGAAUAAAACAGCUAUUGACAGCCUUUCUUACUGGAGUUCCUCAACUAUUGACAUCUCUGAAUCACAGUCUCUGAGACAUGAUGACUGACAAAUGUGUUGAAGAAGAUGAAAUCUCUACCAUGGAUAGCUUGCUUCUUUCAACAGUAUGCCCAGUGGUUGGAAUAAAGUAACAUCCUUUUCACCUGGGGAAAUACAUACCGAUUCCAAAAAAGUUGUACAAAAUUAUACAAUGUACAAAUUGUGAAUAAAAAAAAAAAUGCAAUGAUGUGGAAGUUUCAAAUUUCAAUAUUUUAUUCAGAAUACGACAUUGUUGACAUAUCAGAUGUUUAAACUGAGAAAAUGUAUAAUUUAAAGGAAAAAAUAAGUUGAUUUUAAAUUUCAUGGCAUCAACACAUCUCAAAAAAGUUUUUACCACUGUGUGGCAUCCCCUCCUCUUCAUAUAACAGUCUGCAAACGUCUGGGGACUGAGGAGACAAGUUGCUCAAGUUAGGAAAAGGAAUGUUGUCCCAUUCUUGUCUAAUACCGGCUUCUAGUUGUUCAACUGUCUCAGGUCUUCUUUGUCACAUCUUCCUCUUUAUGAUGAGCCAAAUCUUUUCUAUGGGUGAAAGAUCUGGACUGCAGUCUGGUCAUUUCAGUACCCAGAUCCUUCUUCUACGCAGCCAUGAUGUUGUAAUUGAUGCAGUAUGUGGUCUGGCAUUGUCAUGUUGGAAAAUGCAAGGUCUUCCCUGAAAGAUACGACGUCUGGAUGGGAGCAUAUGUUGUUCUAGAACUUUGAUAUACCUUUCAGCAUUGAUGGUGCCUUUCCAGAUUUGUAAAUUUUCCAUGCCACUCGCAGUCAUGCAACCCCAUACCAUCAGAGAUGCAGGCUUCUGAACUGAGCGCUGAUAACAACUUGAGUUGUCCUUGUCCUCUUUAGUACGGAUGACAAGGCGUCCCAGUUUUCCAAAAAGAACUUCAAAUUUUGAUUCGUCUGACCACAGAACAGUUUUCCACUUUGGACGUGGCUUGGAUGCAUAGUCUCUUUUAGAAAUAAUGAUGGAAGGGGAGGAGGAGGUCUGUGAAGCAGAUGAUGUGAACAUAGCUCUACACUUCAUAUUCAACACUGAAUAUGCUUCAGAGUUGGAACAUUUAUUGAAAACUGUUUAACCGUUUAGUGUGUCAAAAUGCCAAAACCAAUAUGCCACCCACAAUGGCCAGAUUUUAUUUAUUUAAAUU